CCUACGGGUGGCAGCAGUGGGGAAUAUUGCACAAUGGGGGAAACCCUGAUGCAGCGACGCCGCGUGAGUGAAGAAGUAAUUCGUUACGUAAAGCUCUAUCAGCAGGGAAGAAACACUGACCUUACGGUCAGCAGACGGUACCUGACUAAGAAGCCCCGGCUAACUACGUGCCAGCAGCCGCGGUAAUACGUAGGGGGCAAGCAUUAUCCGGAUUUACUGGGUGUAAAGGGAGCGUAGACGGCAGCACAAGUCUGGAGUGAAAGCCCGGGGCUUAACCCCGGAACUGCUUUGGAAACUGUGCGGCUGGAGUGCAGGAGGGGUAAGCGGAAUUCCUAGUGUAGCGGUGAAAUGCGUAGAUAUUAGGAGGAACACCGGUGGCGAAGGCGGCUUACUGGACUGUAACUGACGUUGAGGCUCGAAAGCGUGGGGAGCAAACAGGAUUAGAUACCCCAGUAGUC
rnacentral:rRNA from 1 species